rnacentral:rRNA from 1 species
UCCGGAAUUAUUGGGCGUAAAGCGCGCGUAGGCGGUUUUUUAAGUCUGAUGUGAAAGCCCACGGCUCAACCGUGGAGGGUCAUUGGAAACUGGAAAACUUGAGUGCAGAAGAGGAAAGUGGAAUUCCAUGUGUAGCGGUGAAAUGCGCAGAGAUAUGGAGGAACACCAGUGGCGAAGGCGACUUUCUGGUCUGUAACUGACGCUGAUGUGCGAAAGCGUGGGGAUCAAACAGGAUUAGAUACCCUGGUAGUCCACGCCGUAAACGAUGAGUGCUAAGUGUUAGGGGGUUUCCGCCCCUUAGUGCUGCAGCUAACGCAUUAAGCACUCCGCCUGGGGAGUACGACCGCAAGGUUGAAACUCAAAGGAAUUGACGGGGACCCGCACAAGCGGUGGAGCAUGUGGUU